rnacentral:rRNA from 1 species
UACGUAGGAGGCAAGCGUUGUCCGGAAUUACUGGGCGUAAAGCGCGUGUAGGUGGUGGGACAAGUCUGCUGUGAAAGCGCCUGGCUCAACCUGGAGAUGCCACCUGAGACGGCUAUGGCUAGAGUCUGGUAGGGGAGCACGGAAUUCCUGGUGUAGCGGUGAAAUGCGCAGAUAUCAGGAGGAGCACCGGUGGCGAAGGCGGUGCUCUGGGCCAGUACUGACGCUGAGGAGCGAAAGCGUGGGUAGCAAACAGG